rnacentral:rRNA from 10 species
GUGAAAUACGUUGACCCUGGCAAGUCGACCAAACGCGUAAGCAGUCGCCAAGGGCAUGUCCAUUGAUCAAGAGCGAAAGUUAAGGGUUCGAAGACGAUCAGAUACCGUCGUAGUCUCAACUAUAAAUUAUACUGGCCAGGGAUAGGACAGUGUCCAUCUCGACUCCUCCUGGACCUUAGGGAAACCAAAGCCUUUGAGUUCCGGGGGGAGUAUGGUCGCA